GGUCUGGCUACAAGUGUUUUUGUCUCUUUUGUCCCUUCUCUCUUCCCUCUCGUGCUCUGCACACCACCGGGGCGGAGUUCUCUGUGAGCUCCCGCCCCUGGCUCCCGCACCUGCAAACAAUCUCCACUCUGGCUCGGGACUUAAGGAGGUGGCUGGAGGCGCCUCGUCGCUGGAUUAUUGUGUAACACUUACUUCUCGCCAGCCUGAGGAUCGCCAUUUGGUGAGCUUUAGCCGGAGUACGAGCUAGCCUGAGCGUCCGGGAGAGAUUGUACAUAGCCCGUGUGUUCCUUCCCUGUGCCUGUGUCCCUGGAGACCCACCUUCCCGUGACCUCCCCCCCCACUUGUAUAUAUUCGCACCUGGUGUCAAUUGUUAAUAAAUUGUGAACCUUUUGA